rnacentral:rRNA from 1 species
AUUGAACGCUGGCGGCAUGCCUUACACAUGCAAGUCGAACGGUAACAGGUCUUCGGAUGCUGACGAGUGGCGAACGGGUGAGUAAUACAUCGGAACGUGCCCGAUCGUGGGGGAUAACGAAGCGAAAGCUUUGCUAAUACCGCAUACGAUCUACGGAUGAAAGCAGGGGACCGCAAGGCCUUGCGCGAACGGAGCGGCCGAUGGCAGAUUAGGUAGUUGGUGGGAUAAAAGCUUACCAAGCCAACGAUCUGUAGCUGGUCUGAGAGGACGACCGGACACACUGGGACUGAGACACGGCCCAGACUCCUACGGGAGGCAGCAGUGGGGAAUUUUGGAAAAUGGGCGAAAGCCUGAUCCAGCAAUGCCGCGUGCAGGAAGAAGGCCUUCGGGUUGUAAACUGCUUUUGUACGGAGCGAAAAGGCUCUCUCUAAUACAGGGGGCUCAUGACGGUACCGUAAGAAUAAGCACCGGCUAACUACGUGCCAGCAGCCGCCGUAACAC